rnacentral:tRNA from 1 species
CUGGGUGUAGCUCAGUUUGGUAGAGUACUCGCCUCGGACGCGAGGAGUCGCAGGUUCAAAUCCUGUCACCCAGACCA